rnacentral:rRNA from 1 species
GAAGUGGCGGGGAGCUAUAAUGCAGUCGACGCUUCUUUUCCCACCGGAGCUUGCUCCACCGGGAAAAGAGGAGUGGCGAACGGGUGAGUAACACGUGGGUAACCUGCCCAUCAGAAGGGGAUAACACUUGGAAACAGGUGCUAAUACCGUAUAACAAUCGAAACCGCAUGGUUUCGUUUUGAAAGGCGCUUUACCGUGCCGCUGAUGGAUGGACCCGCGGGGUCAUUAGCUAGUUGGUGAGGUAACGGCUCACCAAGGCCACGAUGCAUAGCCGACCUGAGAGAGGUGAUCCGCCACAUUGGGACUGAGACACGGCCCAAACUCCUACGGGAGGCAGCAGUAGGGAAUCUUCGGCAAUGGACGAAAGUCUGACCGAGCAACGCCGCGUGAGUGAAGAAGGUUUUCGGAUCGUAAAACUCUGUUGUUAGAGAAGAACAAGGGUGAGAGUAACUGUUCACCCCUUGACGGUAUCUAACCAGAAAGCCACGGCUAACUACGUGCCAGCAGCCGCGGUAAUACGUAGGUGGCAAGCGUUGUCCCGGAUUUAUUGGGCGUAAAGCGAGCGCAGGCGGUUUCUUAAGUCUGAUGUGAAAGCCCCCGGCUCAACCGGGGAGGGUCAUUGGAAACUGGGAGACUUGAGUGCAGAAGAGGAGAGUGGAAUUCCAUGUGUAGCGGUGAAAUGCGUAGAUAUAUGGAGGAACACCAGUGGCGAAGGCGGCUCUCUGGUCUGUAACUGACGCUGAGGCUCGAAAGCGUGGGGAGCAAACAGGAUUAGAUACCCUGGUAGUCCACGCCGUAAACGAUGAGUGCUAAGUGUUGGAGGGUUUCCGCCCUUCAGUGCUGCAGCUAACGCAUUAAGCACUCCGCCUGGGGAGUACGACCGCAAGGUUGAAACUCAAAGGAAUUGACAGGGGCCCGCACAAGCGGUGGAGCAUGUGGUUUAAUUCGAAGCAACGCGAAGAACCUUACCAGGUCUUGACAUCCUUUGACCACUCUAGAGAUAGAGCUUCCCCUUCGGGGGCAAAGUGACAGGUGGUGCAUGGUUGUCGUCAGCUCGUGUCGUGAGAUGUUGGGUUAAGUCCCGCAACGAGCGCAACCCUUAUUGUUAGUUGCCAUCAUUUAGUUGGGCACUCUAGCAAGACUGCCGGUGACAAACCGGAGGAAGGUGGGGAUGACGUCAAAUCAUCAUGCCCCUUAUGACCUGGGCUACACACGUGCUUACAAUGGGAAGUACAACGAGUCGCGAAAGUCGCGAGCCUAAGCUAAUCUCUUAAAGCUUCUCUCAGUCUCAGAUCUCGUAGGCUGCAACUCGCCUACAUGAAGCCGGAAUCGCUAGUAAUCGCGGAUCAGCACGCCGCGGUGAAUACGUUCCCGGGCCUUGUACACACCGCCCGUCACACCACGAGAGUUUGUAACCCCCGAAGUCGGUGAGGUAACCUUUUUGGAGCCAGCCGCCUAAGUGAUGAUAUG